UACGUAGGGGGCUAGCGUUGUCCGGAUUUAUUGGGCGUAAAGAGCGUGUAGGCGGCCAGGUAGGUCUGCUGUGAAAACUCGAGGCUCAACCUCGAGACGUCGGCGGAAACCAUCUGGCUAGAGUCCGGAAGAGGAGAGUGGAAUUCCUGGUGUAGCGGUGAAAUGCGCAGAUAUCAGGAAGAAGACCAGCGGCGAAGGCGGCGCUCUGGGACGGUACUGACACUGAGGAGCGAAGGCGUGGGUAGCAAACAGG
rnacentral:rRNA from 1 species